ACUUCCUGGACUCUGCUGGGAUGGGUUCAAAGUAGAGAAAGUGGAAGAGGAAAGAGUUACCCCAGCGAGAACCGGGAACCGGGCCGCAGACUCUCCGGCCCCGGGGAGGGAUGAGUUUCACUCUGGUUGCCCAGGCUGGAGUGCAAUGGCGCGAUCUCGGCUCACGGCAACCUCUGCCUCCCGGAUUCAAGCGAUUCUCCUGCUUCAGCCUCCCGAGUAGCUGGGAUUACAGGACCUGGGAAAGCUUCCUCCAGCCCUGAUGCUGGCCUGCAGUCUGGCACUUGACAGCUACUGGUAUUGUGGAUAGAAGCAAAGGCUCUGGACUCAGCAACACUUGGUCUGAAUCCCAGUUCUACCACUUACUAGCUGUAGUGCCGCUGACAACUUAAACUCCAUGAACCUCAGUUUUCUUCAUCUGUAAGGUGGGAUAACAGUACUUCUCUAAUAGGGAUAUUGUGAGGAUCAAAUAUGAUCUAAAGCAGUUAGCACAAUAUCUUGCACAUAGUAAGUGCUUAAUAAGUGGCAGUUAUUAUUUCAUACAUUAUAAGGUGAUACCCCUGAACUU
rnacentral:antisense_RNA from 1 species